rnacentral:rRNA from 1 species
AGCGAACGCUGGCGGCAGGCUUAACACAUGCAAGUCGAGCGGGCGUAGCAAUACGUCAGCGGCAGACGGGUGAGUAACACGUGGGAACGUACCUUUUGGUUCGGAACAACUGAGGGAAACUUCAGCUAAUACCGGAUAAGCCCUAACGGGGAAAGAUUUAUCGCCGAAAGAUCGGCCCGCGUAUGAUUAGCUAGUUGGUGAGGUAAUGGCUCACCAAGGCGACGAUCAGUAGCUGGUCUGAGAGGAUGAUCAGCCACACUGGGACUGCGACACGGCCCAGGCUCCUGCGGGAGGCAGCAGUGGGGAAUAUUGGACAAUGGGGGCAACCCUGAUCCAGCCAUGCCGCGUGAGUGAUGAAGGCCCUAGGGUUGUAAAGCUCUUUUGUGCGGGAAGAUAAUGACGGUACCGCAAGAAUAAGCCCCGGCUAACUUCGUGCCAGCCGCCGCAGUAA